UCCCCGAUAGCUCAGUUGGUAGAGCGCCGGACUGUUAAUCCGUAGGUCCCUGGUUCGAGCCCAGGUCGGGGACCCA
rnacentral:tRNA from 1 species